GAUAAACGCUGGCGGCGUGCCUAAUACAUGCAAGUCGAGCGAACGGACGAGAAGCUUGCUUCUCUGAUGUUAGCGGCGGACGGGUGAGUAACACGUGGAUAACCUACCUAUAAGACUGGGAUAACUUCGGGAAACCGGAGCUAAUACCGGAUAAUAUUUUGAACCGCAUGGUUCAAAAGUGAAAGACGGUCUUGCUGUCACUUAUAGAUGGAUCCGCGCUGCAUUAGCUAGUUGGUAAGGUAACGGCUUACCAAGGCAACGAUGCAUAGCCGACCUGAGAGGGUGAUCGGCCACACUGGAACUGAGACACGGUCCAGACUCCUACGGGAGGCAGCAGUAGGGAAUCUUCCGCAAUGGGCGAAAGCCUGACGGAGCAACGCCGCGUGAGUGAUGAAGGUCUUCGGAUCGUAAAACUCUGUUAUUAGGGAAGAACAUAUGUGUAAGUAACUGUGCACAUCUUGACGGUACCUAAUCAGAAAGCCACGGCUAACUACGUGCCAGCAGCCGCGGUAAUACGUAGGUGGCAAGCGUUAUCCGGAAUUAUUGGGCGUAAAGCGCGCGUAGGCGGUUUUUUAAGUCUGAUGUGAAAGCCCACGGCUCAACCGUGGAGGGUCAUUGGAAACUGGAAAACUUGAGUGCAGAAGAGGAAAGUGGAAUUCCAUGUGUAGCGGUGAAAUGCGCAGAGAUAUGGAGGAACACCAGUGGCGAAGGCGACUUUCUGGUCUGUAACUGACGCUGAUGUGCGAAAGCGUGGGGAUCAAACAGGAUUAGAUACCCUGGUAGUCCACGCCGUAAACGAUGAGUGCUAAGUGUUAGGGGGUUUCCGCCCCUUAGUGCUGCAGCUAACGCAUUAAGCACUCCGCCUGGGGAGUACGACCGCAAGGUUGAAACUCAAAGGAAUUGACGGGGACCCGCACAAGCGGUGGAGCAUGUGGUUUAAUUCGAAGCAACGCGAAGAACCUUACCAAAUCUUGACAUCCUUUGACAACUCUAGAGAUAGAGCCUUCCCCUUCGGGGGACAAAGUGACAGGUGGUGCAUGGUUGUCGUCAGCUUGUGUCGUGAGAUGUUGGGUUAAGUCCCGCAACGAGUGCAACCCUUAAGCUUAGUUGCCAUCAUUAAGUUGGGCACUCUAAGUUGACUGCCGGUGACAAACCGGAGGAAGGUGGGGAUGACGUCAAAUCAUCAUGCCCCUUAUGAUUUGGGCUACACACGUGCUACAAUGGACAAUACAAAGGGCAGCGAAACCGCGAGGUCAAGCAAAUCCCAUAAAGUUGUUCUCAGUUCGGAUUGUAGUCUGCAACUCGACUACAUGAAGCUGGAAUCGCUAGUAAUCGUAGAUCAGCAUGCUACGGUGAAUACGUUCCCGGGUCU
rnacentral:rRNA from 1 species